rnacentral:rRNA from 1 species
UAGGGAAUCUUCCGCAAUGGGCGCAAGCCUGACGGAGCAACGCCGCGUGAGUGAUGAAGGUCUUCGGAUCGUAAAACCCUGUUAUUAGGGAAGAACAAACGUGUAAGUAACUGUGCACGUCUUGACGGUACCUAAUCAGAAAGCAACGGCUAACUACGUGCCAGCAGCCGCGGUAAUACGUAGGUGGCAAGCGUUAUCCGGAAUUAUUGGGCGUAAAGCGCGCGUAGGCGGUUUUUUAAGUCUGAUGUGAAAGCCCACGGCUCAACCGUGGAGGGUCAUUGGAAACUGGAAAACUUGAGUGCAGAAGAGGAAAGUGGAAUUCCAUGUGUAGCGGUGAAAUGCGCAGAGAUAUGGAGGAACACCAGUGGCGAAGGCGACUUUCUGGUCUGUAACUGACGCUGAUGUGCGAAAGCGUGGGGAUCAAACA